rnacentral:rRNA from 1 species
UUUCGCAAUGCCCGAAAGGGUGACGAAGCGACGCCGCGUGCGGGAAGAAGGCCUUCGGGUUGUAAACCGCCGUCGGGAGUUAGGAAGUGCAAGGAUGUUAAUAGCAUUCUUGCUUGACUAAGGCUCCGGAGGAAGCCACGGCUAACUCUGUGCCAGCAGCCGCGGUAAUACAGAGGCGGCAAGCGUUGUUCGGAAUUAUUGGGCGUAAAGAGCACGUAGGCGGCUGUGUAAGUCGGUUGUGAAAGCCUUCCGCUUAACGGAAGAACGGCAUCCGAUACUGCAUAGCUUGAGUGCGGGAGGGGAGAGUGGAACUUCUGGUGGAGCGGUGAAAUGCGUAGAUAUCAGAAGGAACACCGGCGGCGAAGGCGACUCUCUGGUCCGUAACUGACGCUGAGUGUGCGAAAGCUAGGGGAGCAAACGGGAUUAGAUACCCCGGUAGUCCUAGCCGUAAACGAUGGGCACUAAGUAGAGGGGUUUU